rfam:Lupinus angustifolius cultivar Tanjil contig_41907, whole genome shotgun sequence.
CUAGCAGUGAUGAGGCUCUAACAUAUAAGAAGUAUUCCUGAGUGGUUUUCUUCAAUGAAAUAUUCAUGUUACGCUUGGCUUCUGAGCUUC